AUUGAACGCUGGCGGCAGGCUUAACACAUGCAAGUCGAGCGGGGGAAGGUAGCUUGCUACCGGACCUAGCGGCGGACGGGUGAGUAAUGCUUAGGAAUCUGCCUAUUAGUGGGGGACAACAUCUCGAAAGGGAUGCUAAUACCGCAUACGUCCUACGGGAGGAAGCAGGGGAUCUUCGGACCUUGCGCUAAUAGAUGAGCCUAAGUCGGAUUAGCUAGUUGGUGGGGUAAAGGCCUACCAAGGCGACGAUCUGUAGCGGGUCUGAGAGGAUGAUCCGCCACACUGGGACUGAGACACGGCCCAGACUCCUACGGGAGGCAGCAGUGGGGAAUAUUGGACAAUGGGGGGAACCCUGAUCCAGCCAUGCCGCGUGUGUGAAGAAGGCCUUAUGGUUGUAGAGCACUUUAAGCGAGGAGGAGGCUACUCUAGUUAAUACCUAGGGAUAGUGGACGUUACUCGCAGAAUAAGCACCGGCUAACUCUGUGCCAGCAGCCGCGGUAA
rnacentral:rRNA from 1 species